rnacentral:rRNA from 1 species
AGCAGCCGCGGUAAUUCCAGCUCCAAUAGCGUAUAUUAAAGUUGUUGCAGUUAAAAGCUCGUAGUUGAAUUUCGGGGUUAGUAGGUUGGUCGUGCCACUGGUACGUACUGGUCUCACUGAUUCCUCCUUCCUGAUGAACUGUAAUGCCAUUAAUUUGGUGUUGCAGGGAAACUGGACUGUUACUUUGAAAAAAUUAGAGUGUUUAAAGCAAGCUAACGCUUGAAUACAUUAGCAUGGAAUAAUGAAAUAGGACGUUCGAUCCUAUUUUGUUGGUUUCUAGGAUUGACGUAAUGAUUAAUAGGGAUAGUUGGGGGCAUUAGUAUUCAAUUGUCAGAGGUGAAAUUCUUGGAUUUAUUGAAGACUAACUACUGCGAAAGCAUUUUGCCAAGGAUGUUUUCAUUAAUCAAGAACGAAAGUUAGGGGAUCGAAGACGAUCAGAUACCGUCGUAGUCUUAACCAUAAACUCAUGCCGACUAGGGAUCGGAUGAUGUUAAUUUUUUAAUGACUCAUUCGGCGCCUU